GUAGGUGAACCUGCGGAAGGAUCAUUAACACGUUCUUAACAAAACGUUUUAAAAACCCCAAACUUUAAUCUGUGAACUUAACUUUUUCCUCCCCUAUCGUUUUUUUAAUUAAAAACACCCCCUUAUUUUGAUACUACCUGUACUGAAACAAAACCAUUAUCGAAAAAAGAAUUAACUUUCCUUUUUUGAGAAUUAAAAAAAUGCUGAACAACUCUUAACAACGGAUAUCUUGGUUCUCGCAUCGAUGAAG
rnacentral:misc_RNA from 1 species